UACGUAGGGGGCAAGCGUUGUCCGGAAUUAUUGGGCGUAAAGAGCGCGUAGGCGGUCUGUUGCGUCCGCUGUGAAAACCCGGGGCUUAACCCUGGGCUGGCAGUGGAUACGGACAGACUAGAGGUAGGUAGGGGAGAAUGGAAUUCCCGGUGUAGCGGUGAAAUGCGCAGAUAUCGGGAGGAACACCGGUGGCGAAGGCGGUUCUCUGGGCCUUACCUGACGCUGAGGAGCGAAAGCGUGGGGAGCGAACAGG
rnacentral:rRNA from 1 species